CGUCUGGAAACGGACGCUAAUACCGUAUAAUGACUCCGGUCCAAAGAUUUAUCGCCUAAGGAUUAGCCCGCGUUAGAUUAGCUUGUUGGUGAGGUAAAAGCUCACCAAGGCUACGAUCUAUAGCUGGUCUGAGAGGAUGAUCAGUCACACUGGGACUGAGACACGGCCCAGACUCCUACGGGAGGCAGCAGUGGGGAGUAUUGGACAAUGGGGGCAACCCUGAUCCAGCCAUGCCGCGUGAGUGAAGAAGGCCUUAGGGUUGUAAAGCUCUUUCAAUAGUGAAGAUAAUGACGGUAACUAUAGAAGAAG
rnacentral:rRNA from 1 species